rnacentral:rRNA from 1 species
CGUGCCUCAGACAUGCACGUCGAACGCGAAAGUUCCCUUCGGGUAGACGCCCUAUGGCGCACGGGUGAGUAACACGUAGGUAAUCUAUAUUCGGAUUGGGAAUAACAACCGGAAACGGUUGCUAAUACCGAAUAAUGCAGCGGCACCUAAUGGUGACAGUUGCCUCCUGCGGGGGAUCGCAAGACCUCGCGUCUAAAGAGGAGCCUGCGGCGGAUUAGCUAGUUGGUAAGGUAACGGCUUACCAAGGCGAUGAUCCGUAGCCGGCCUGAGAGGGCGGUCGGCCACACUGACACUGACAUACGGGUCAGACUCCUAC